AUUAGUACAUGUGUUAUGAACAAAGCAAUGCUUCAGAGAGACACACCGAGUCUGAGAUUAAAUGUAAUACUUGCAAAGUUUGGAAUUGAAAAAUAAAAUUGAAUCACUACAAGUGUUCUUUUAUUAUUAACAGCAUUCAAGUUGUAUCACCGUGAGGCUUUUUUAAUGUGAACUGUUGUGGAAUAUUUCAAUAAACUAGUUAAUCAGCGCUGAGAAGCUGAAUAACAUUCUCCUCACAAAAAUUUAAAUUAACUCCUAAAAGCACUGAAAUAACAAUCUUACAUACAUGAAUAGCUCAGUAAAAAGUAAAUACAAGGAAAAGAGUUCUAUAAUACUGCAUAUAUUAUUUUUACCCAGAAAGCUUCGGGGCUCAGAUGGCGAAGGCUCAGUAACCACUGGUCUUGAUCUUAGAUCCUAUAGUCAUGGCCAGAAGUGCCCUGCCAGGAGAUGUCUGCUGUCAGCUCAUAAAAGGUUAAAAGAUCAGAUAUCAAAGAUGUAUCUUGAGUCAGAGCCGACCGCGCCUACGAAUAUGAUCACCACAGUUAUACAACCGAUUAUGAUGAGCUGAUCAUUUUCUAUGUAAUCUGGAGGUUCUGCCACAGCUCUAUAUUUGUUAACAUUGGUUUAAAUUAUUAAAAUAGAGUUAUUCACAAUCAGUUCGUUCCAAAAAACUGGAAAUAUCUUCAAAUCUGUAGACCAGAGUGACUUUGAAAUAAUUCAAUAUGUAUUUUAUCAACCAGAUACAGCGACAUGUGUCUCAUCACUGUCAAGUAGAGUGUAUGCAUGUAUAAAUAGAGCAGUGGUGCAGACGGAGCACACUAGUCCACCAGCGUGCAGGUCAACUGGAUGCGACAUACCUUGGAGUGCUCCAACAAACCGUCAAAGGGAAUAUGGAGAAGGUGCUGAGACAAUUUACUCCUAUAGUGAAAGUCCUCCAGGUCAGGUGAUAAAAGCAGCCGCCACACUGACCCCGUAGAGCGGGAAGCGAGGAAGGCAGUAUCAAAGGAAGCUACGCCCGGGGGCUUCAAUUCUCUGGGGAAUUGGUAAUAAGCGAAGGCCUAUCACACCAAGCGCAGAAUAUUCUUACAAUUGAAAAAAUGUGAACACGUGGUGUCCUGCACACGGUGUUAUUAUUACAUUAUUAUCUGUGAUUACAUAUUAUAUCAGACAUUACCGGCUAUGGACUUUUUAGAACAGAGCUGUUAAGCAUCAAAUAUAUUUGCAAUAGUUAUUUUGGCAGGUCCACAAAAUUAACAUUCCUUAUGUUUAAAUAUUUAAACACCGAGUUAAGAUGAACAUUUAAAAUAUUACACGCAAUAAUGUAGCAAAUAUAAUUUUU
ensembl:lncRNA